rnacentral:rRNA from 1 species
UGCAGUCGAGCGGAACGAGUUAUCUGAACCUUCGGGGAACGAUAACGGCGUCGAGCGGCGGACGGGUGAGUAAUGCCUAGGAAAUUGCCUUGAUGUGGGGGAUAACCAUUGGAAACGAUGGCUAAUACCGCAUGAUGCCUACGGGCCAAAGAGGGGGACCUUCGGGCCUCUCGCGUCAAGAUAUGCCUAGGUGGGAUUAGCUAGUUGGUGAGGUAAUGGCUCACCAAGGCGACGAUCCCUAGCUGGUCUGAGAGGAUGAUCAGCCACACUGGAACUGAGACACGGUCCAGACUCCUACGGGAGGCAGCAGUGGGGAAUAUUGCACAAUGGGCGCAAGCCUGAUGCAGCCAUGCCGCGUGUAUGAAGAAGGCCUUCGGGUUGUAAAGUACUUUCAGCAGUGAGGAAGGGGGUGUCGUUAAUAGCGGCAUUUCUUGACGUUAGCUGCAGAAGAAGCACCGGCUAACUCCGUGCCAGCAGCCGCGGUAAUACGGAGGGUGCGAGCGUUAAUCGGAAUUACUGGGCGUAAAGCGCAUGCAGGUGGUUUGUUAAGUCAGAUGUGAAAGCCCGGGGCUCAACCUCGGAACUGCAUUUGAAACUGGCAAACUAGAGUACUGUAGAGGGGGGUAGAAUUUCAGGUGUAGCGGUG